AUUUGGGCUACUUCUCUAUUCCUUUUGGUUUUGGCUGGGUUCCAAUCUAGAAAGAAAGAGAGAAGGGGGAAGGGGGAGGGGUCUGGAAGAAUAUCGACAGGAGGAAGAAAUUGACUUUUCUCCAUUUUUUUCCAAGGUAUUUGACAAGCAACUUGCUCAAUGACUCUAUUCCAGAAUGGAUUAAGAACAGAGAUAACCGCUAUUUAGUACUCAUUGCAUAUAAACUGUGGUGUGAGAG